UGGACAAACAAAUUGUGUUAUUAAAAAUGUCAGAAGAAAAAUCGGAACGUCGAACCGUUUUUAGCGGAACGCCGACUGGACGAGUUAAUAGAAGGUGAAGAUAUAACUGAACAGGAAGCUCGAAAAGCUAUCGAAGGACAAGAGGAUUUGGACGAUAUAAAAGAAGAAGUAAAUACCACGAGAGAAGGCGAUCUACAUGAUUUAUUAGCCGAGAAAGAAGAAUGAGAUUUAAAGAUGGGGAAAUUGGAAGUUGAAGGUGAACGGUGCCGUAAUGAAACGAAUAUGCAUGCCGAUACCAUGUUGUAUGAAUUAUUGCUAAAUUGCAUCUCCGAAGCAGAAGAUAUUAUCGAAUAUUCAUUAAACGGUAUCGAUAAUCCAGCGAUGUCAGACCUAACUUGUACUCCUCAAUACUCAUUAAAAGUGCAAUACACGUUGCAUAUGUUUUGGGUCUUUAUUCAAUACAUGGAAAAUCUACAUGAAACACAUCUAUUGAUAUUGCAUCGGGCGAUAAAUCGACCGACGAAUGUAAACAGUUGGGAGUUGGAAGUUUGGUAGAGGCAGAAUUGUUAAGUAUGGAUAAAGCAAUAGAAGAAGCUGGUAAUCGAAUACAGGACAUGGUGGAGAAAUCUCGCGCUGGUGAUUCCGGGUUAAAAUUAGAAGUGAACGGAAAAAUGUUAGAUUCAUGUACAGAAUUAAUGGAAGAAGGAAAGGGCACAGCCUCUGGAACCGAAUUCUAGAAACGUAACCAUCAAUGGUCCGAAGGGCUGAUAUCAGCAGCGAAGGCGGUUGCAUUUGGUGGUAAUCUUUUAUUAGAAGCAGAGUAAAAGCAAAUAGAAA